CGCUCCCAGGAGGAGAGGGUUCUGCAGCUGCUGUGGCAGCCCCGCGCCCAGGCCGAGCAGGGUCAGGGCCGCCAGCGCGCCAGCAAGUCCAAGCUCAGAGAGGUGAAGUAAUUUGUCCAAGGACACACAGCAAAUAAGAAGCCAAACCAUAAGAGCCAGUGAUCUUAAGAGUGAUGACACCAUCCUAGUCCCUCUGGAGGCAUCUCAGAGAGAGAAGGGGAGAUGAAAAACCCAGGCCUUCCAGGUGGCUCCAACUGUGCUAGGAGUUUGAGUCUGAAAAUAGGCCUCCAACUGGGAUCUCUUGAAAGGACAGCAAACCACCAGCGUUGGGAGUUGUUGGGAGCUCCUAACCUAGAGUACCUGGGAAGCUCCCAAGGAAAGGGAGAGAGAAGGAAAAGGCAAAGUUUUAGAUUCUACCUAUUGACUACUACAAAGGAACGUGAAGAUUUAGCUCUCAUACUGCCUUCCACAUUUUUCUGCGCAGCCUUUGUUUAUAUCAUAAGCCUGCAUUUACAAGAACCACGAGACAAAUUAUUCAGGCUGAGUCAGGAGUGUACCGUGAUUAUAAUUCCUUUGCUAGAUGUUCUGUUUUUCCUGGGGUAAGUGUUGCUUGGUUUUUUACUUGCUUAAUUUUCUACGCACCUAUCACGAAUUCAUCUAUCUAUUGUUAAUUCCCCUUAAUCUUUCCUUGAAGCGAAAAAUAAUCUAAAGAUUUGGUUUCCCAUCCAGAUAAGAAUACUUUCAAAAAGACUCACAGACUUCUGUAACAAAUACGUGGUUUCUUCAACAAAUAAACAGCUUGAAAAAAAGCAGGGGGAGGGGAAAACGUUAUAAAAGAGACUUAAGAGACAUAGCAGUCAAAUGCCACAUGUGGGCCUUGUUGGGAUCUUCACCCAAACAAACCAACUGCACAGAGGCGUUUUAAGAUGCCUGGGGGUGGUCUGAACAUUGGUUGGUCCUUAGCAGACUAAAGAAUAAACAUGUUUGGACUAGGUGAAUAACGGCAUAGUGGGUCAUGUUUUAAAAAUUCCUUAUCUGUUAGAGCUACUUACUAAAAUAUUUACGUGUGAAAUGAUAUCGUAUCUAAGAUUUACUUUUAAAACA